rnacentral:rRNA from 1 species
UACGUAGGGUGCGAGCGUUAAUCGGAAUUACUGGGCGUGAAGCGUGCGCAGGCGGUUUUGUAAGUCAGAUGUGAAAGCCCCGGGCUCAACCUGGGAACUGCAUUUGGGACUGCAAGGCUUGAGUACGGCAGAGGGGGGUAGAAUUCCUGGUGUAGCAGUGAAAUGCGUAGAUAUCAGGAGGAAUACCGAUGGCGAAGGCAGCCCCCUGGGUCGAUACUGACGCUCAGGCACGAAAGCGUGGGGAGCAAACAGG